GAUGAAGAACGUAGUGAAAUGCGAUAAGUAGUGUGAAUUGCAGAAUUCAGUGAAUCAUCGAAUCUUUGAACGCACAUUGAGCCCCUUGGUAUUCCAUGGGGCAUGCCUGUUCGAGCGUCAUUUGUACCUUCAAGCUCUGCUUGGUGUUGGGUGUUUGUCUCGCCUCUGCGUGUAGACUCGCCUCAAAAUAAUUGGCAGCCGGCGUAUUGAUUUCGGAGCGCAGUACAUCUCGCGCUUUGCACUCAUAACGACGACGUCCAAAAGUACAUUUUUACACUCUUGACCUCGGAUCAGGUAGGGAUACCCGCUGAACUUAAGCAUAUCAAUAAGCGGAGGA
rnacentral:misc_RNA from 1 species